GCUAUUCACCUUAUUUUUCACGACAACAAGGGCGGCGCCAUUUCGCUCAUUUUGUCAACGUUCUUCCGGCCGCAUAGACGAUGAGCAGCUGAGGCAGUGACUGAAGGCGACGCGUUAAAGCUUAAAAAGCUCACCCGAGCGCCUUUAUGUUUCUUUCUUACCAAUUUUAAGCCAACUGAGGAACACCCUUAUCCCAAGUAAUGGUUCGACUACGAUGUUCCGGUAACUUUAAACCACGCCGGGUGUUGAAAAGGUGGCCAGUUUCAGAUUCAUUGAUGUGUAGUGAUGCAGUGGACAACUGUGAGGAUGAUACAAAUCAACAUGUUCCUAAACUGUGAUGCAGAAACACAAUGAGAGGAUCCAUCCGUCUCUGACCACAACUACACUUUAAAAUCACAACUCAACCUGAAGCAACCUACAUCUGAUAUGGGAAAACAAUGGUGCGGUUUCCCGGACAGGGCUUAUCCUGGUCCCAAGCUAAAAUGCAUAUUUGAGCUACAAUAAUUUAAAAACACCUUUUACUGACAUACCUCAACAUAUAUGAGUGCCAUUGUUUUGUCACAAGAUGCGCACCAGUCUUGUUUUUUUGUAGGGUUUGUUUGUAAAAACUAAAAUGUCCUAAUAUAAUUAAAUCCUAAUCCUGUAAACCCUGUCCGAGAAACUGCUUCAAUGUGUUGAGCUGGCACAAAUGUACAAUCUCUACUGAGAAACAACCAUCUUUGGUUCAGCUUUACAGAGGGUUGAUAUUGCAUCCAUUACACAGUCGCCAAGCACUUUACCAGUACAUACACCAACAGCUUCCAGAAAAACACUUGGGAUCAGCUGCUGAUGACUCCGAUAAAGCUGCGUCUUAAUUUAUUGCAGGGUGGUCUUGCUUUACCUGUUGUAAAGUUACAUUAAACCUUCAUAUGUGAUCAGAUGUCAUGCAGUGAUAUUAAACAUUUACAGUGUGAUCAGAUGUUGUGCAUUUAUAUUAAACCUUUACAAUGUGAUCAGAUGUUGUGCAAUUAUAUUAAACCUUUACAAUGUGAUCAGAUGUUGUGCAUUUAUAUUAAACCUUUACAAUGUGAUCAGAUGUUGUGCAUUUAUAUUAAACCUUUACAAUGUGAUCAGAUGUUGUGCAAUUAUAUUAAACCUUUACAAUGUGAUCAGAUGUUGUGCAAUUAUAUUAAACCUUUACAAUGUGAUCAGAUGUUGUGCAUUUAUAUUAAACCUUUACAAUGUGAUCAGAUGUUGUGCAAUUAUAUUAAACCUUUACAAUGUGAUCAGAUGUUGUGCAUUUAUAUUAAACCUUUACAAUGUGAUCAGAUGUUGUGCAAUUAUAUUAAACCUUUACAAUGUGAUCAGAUGUUGUGCAUUUAUAUUAAACCUUUACAAUGUGAUCAGAUGUUGUGCAAUUAUAUUAAACCUUUACAAUGUGAUCAGAUGUUGUGCAUUUAUAUUAAACCUUUACAAUGUGAUCAGCUGUUACAUGUCAUGCAGUUAUAUUAAACAUUUACUAUGUGAUCAGAUGUAACCUGCCAUGCAGUUAUAUAAACCUUUACAGUGUGAUCAGA